GACCAGGUCGGUAAGGGCAAGCGGUGGAUGUCUUGGCGUCGAGAGGCGAUGAAGGACGUAGGAACCUGCGAUAUGCCUUGGGGAGCCGGUAACCAGGCCGUGAUCCAAGGAUCUCCGAAUGGGAAAACCCAGCCCGCUUUGCGGGCUAUCCAUAUCUGAAUGCAUAGGGUAUGGAGGCGAACCCGGCGAACUGAAACAUCUCAGUAGCCGGAGGAAAGGAAAGCAAAAGCGACUCCGUCAGUAGCGGCGAGCGAACGCGGAUCAGCCCGGUGUGAAUGCAUGUUUGUUCUACUUCGAACCACCUGGAAAGGUGGACCAAAGAAGGUGACAGUCCUGUAAGGGAAAGACAGCAUGUUGAAGCAUCCUUGCGAGUAGCACGGAGCUCGUGAAACUCUGUGCGAAUUAUGCGGGGUCCACCCCGUAAGGCUAAGUACUCCUCGACGACCGAUAGCGAAUCAGUAAGGUGACUGAAUGAUGAAAAGCACCCCGACAAGGGGCGUGAAAAGUACCUGAAACCGCUUGCUUACAAGCUGUGGGAGCCCGCCGAUCUUCGGAUCGGAGAUGGGUGACCGCGUGCCUUUUGCAUAAUGAGCUGACGAGUUGUUCUCUGCGGCAAGGCUAAGUCGUAUCCCGACGGAGCCGAAGGGAAACCGAGUCUGAAUAGGGCGACCAGUCGCAGGGAGCAGACGCGAAACCGGGUGAUCUACCCAUGGGCAGGUUGAAGAAGGGGUAAUACCCUUUGGAGGACCGAACACACCUACGUUGAAAAGUGGGGUGAUGACCUGUGGGGAGGAGUCAAAGUCUUAUCAAACCCGGAGAUAUCUCGUUCUCCCCGAAAUAGCUUUAGGGCUAGCCUCGCGUUAUACCCGUUGGGGGUAGAGCGACUGGAUGGGGCUGGGGGGCCACAAGCCUACCCACUCCAACCAAACUCCGAAUACCAACGGGCUCUAUCGCGGGAGUCAGUCCGUGGGAGAUAAUUUCCACGGUCGAAAGGGAAACAGCCCAGACCGCCGGUUAAGGCCCCUAAACGAAUCUUAGUUUGGAAAGGUAGUUGAACUGCCGUGACAGCCAGGAUGUUGGCUUAGAAGCAGCCACCAUUUAAAGAGUGCGUAACAGCUCACUGGUCGAGGAGUUCAGCGCCGAUAAUGAUCGGGAAUCAAGGUUCGUGCCGAAACCGCGGCAUGCUUUUGCAUGGGUAGGGGAGCGUUGCUGUCAGCGCCGAAGCGAUCCCGGAAGGGUUCGUGGAGCGGCAGCAAGUGAAUAUGUCAGCUUGAGUAACGAUAAACGGAGUGAGAAUCUCCGUCGCCGAAAGCCUAAGGUUUCCUGGGGAAGGUAAAUCCGCCCAGGGUUAGGCGGGACCUAAGGCGAGCCCGAAAGGGGUAGUCGAUGGACAGCAGGUUAAUAUUCCUGCCCUCUCGUGUGCGGUUGAAACGACGGUGCGGAUCAAGAAGUUCAGCGGGACAGUGAAGCGUCCAGGCCCUUGAGGCCGGUGCUGGGUGGAUUGGUUCCAAGAAAAGCCGUUCGUGGACAAACACGAGACCCGUACUAAAACUGACACAGGUAGGCGUGGCGAAAAGCCUCAGGCGCUCGAGAAAACGGUUGUGAAGGAACUAGGCAAAUUGACCCCGUAAGUUCGCAAUAAGGGGGCCCUACUGGCAACAGAGGGCGCAGAGAAAAGGCUCUGGCGACUGUUUAUCAAAAACACAGCACUGUGCUAACUCGCAAGAGGACGUAUACAGUGUGACGCCUGCUCGGUGCCGGAAUGUUAAGGAAGUGGGUUAGCUUCGGCGAAGCUCAUGACUGAAGCACCGGUAAACAGCGGCCGUAACUAUGACGGUCCUAAGGUGAAGUUCGUUGCCUUAGUAAAAUCUGGCCAUAUGCUGGAAAACCUGGAGUAUCCUCCGGUCCUCGUUCGAUUCCACCUUGCGUGGUAAUCGUUCAGGAACAAUCCGUGAGGUGUUCUUUCGCUUCGGCGGAAGUACCAGACAAUCAGCAGGAAAGGCCGGGAUUCGCAGGGUGGAUCGCAGGAUUCACCGAUGGCGAAGGAUGCUUUUCGGUAUCCAUAUUCAGGAAUCGCUCAUCCGCACUCGGGUGGCAAGUGUUUCCUGAAUUCGUUUUGACGCAAGGCACGUCGAGUCGGUCCGCGUUGGAGGAAGUCAAAGACUUCCUUGGAUGCGGUCGAAUCUACGUAAACCGGCGGCAUGACAAUCACCGAGAAGAUCUCCUUCGGUACUGCGUGCGUUCGCAGCGAGACCUGCGAGAGCGGAUUAUUCCGUUCUUCAAGGUUUGGCCAUUGCGGACGCGUAAGCAGCGUGACUUUGAACUGUUCUGUCGUGUUCUUGAGAUGAUGUCCAGCAAGGAACAUCUGACCGAGAACGGACUGAAUCGAGUUCGACGAGUCACGUCGGAGAUGAAUCAACGACGACCCCGGUGAAUGCCGGAAUCCUCAGAGACUAUACGCCAGACGCUGGUGGCCUCCCGAGACCACCACGUGAUGAGAUAGUCCGAACUGCAUGGCGACAUGCAGAGUCCAUGGGAAACCAUGGGCCGCCAGUUCAAUCAAUUCGAUUGGUUGAAAUGGUCAUGCCACCUAGCUCAGGUGGUGAAGUAACAGCGUGAGCGAAGUUCCUUGUCGGGUAAGUUCCGACGUGCAUGAAUGGCGUAACGACUGGAGCACUGUCUCCACAACCAACUCGGUGAAAUAGAAGUGGCGGUGAAGAUACCGCCUCCCCGCAGCAAGACGGAAAGACCCCGUGGACCUUUACUGCAGGCAUAUAUUGGUCAUGGAUGGAUACUGCGCAGGAUAGGUGGGAGGCUUUGAAGUGGACGUUUCGGCGUUCAUGGAGCCGACCUUGAAAUACCACCCUGUAUGUAUUUGUGGCCUAACCCCGAAUCCCAUGAAGCUGGGCGGGGGACCGUGUAUGCUGGGCGGUUUGACUGGGGCGGUCUCCUCCUAAAGAGUAACGGAGGAGCGCAAAGGUCGGCUCAGCGCGGUUGGAAACCGCGUGUAGAGUGUAAGAGCACAAGCUGGCUUUACUGCGAGACAUACAGGUCAAGCAGUCGCGAAAGCGGGCUCUAGUGAUCCUGCGAUCCCGUGUGGAAGGGUCGUAGCUCAACGGAUAAAAGGUACCCCGGGGAUAACAGGCUUAUCGCUCCCGAGCGUCCAUAGCGGCGGAGCGGUUUG
rnacentral:rRNA from 1 species